GUCUGUGACACUGAAGGCAGAUCUAGAAGAGCAAACAUCAGAAUUCGACAUAUUCCAGAAGAAAUCUCUAAUGAAAAUCUGGUGAACUUCCUUCUGGAAUUCUUACAAAAUGUAAUUCCGGAUGGAGCUCCACACGACUAUUUAAUGGAUCGCCGACAUCGACUACCCAGACCCCAGAAUGCUCCGGAGACAUACACAAGAGACGUAAUGGUUAAAUUUCAUUCAUAUCAAACAAAAGAGAGAGUUACGGCAGCGAUGAGGAACAA